rnacentral:rRNA from 1 species
UACGGGAGGCAGCAGUGGGGAAUUUUCCGCAAUGGGCGAAAGCCUGACGGAGCAAUACCGCGUGAGGGAGGAAGGCUCUUGGGUUGUAAACCUCUUUUCUCAGGGAAGAAGCUCUGACGGUACCUGAGGAAUCAGCAUCGGCUAACUCCGUGCCAGCAGCCGCGGUAAUACGGAGGAUGCAAGCGUUAUCCGGAAUGAUUGGGCGUAAAGCGUCCGCAGGUGGCGAUUCAAGUCUGCUGUCAAAGGUCGGGGCUCAACCCUGAACAGGCGGUGGAAACUGAACAGCUAGAGUGCGGUAGGGGUAGAGGGAAU